UGAAUGGUUGUCUAUGUGCAUGCCUGG
rnacentral:piRNA from 1 species